CUUGCGAAAUUAACAGCAAUGAAAAUGGCGAAACGAAACUUGUGAAUCGUGCAUUUGCUCUUCAUGGUAGCUGCCAGAAAAUCGAAUCAAACUUACGGGACACUGGAUUACAGGUUGCUGCCACUACUCCAUGUGCCCGCAAUUGUCUUGCGUGUAUGAUUACACUUAUGUCGUCGCCCACCACGGCGGAAGUGUUUUGCGUACACGCGUUUCAGCAUGAAGCCUGCAGGUGGACGUAAAUUGUAGAAGGCAGCUAGUGGGGGAGAAGAUCAUGGUCAUAGGUCAUGUGACUCCUGGAGCUCCCAGUGGGCUCCCUUGUGGAGUACUUUUCAGAACACACACACACACACAGUUUGCUCACAGAACCAACGAGUAGGAUGUUGCUUGAAUACUGAGAGAAAAUGGCGUAACACAUACAAAUAUCGUGUGACACAUAUGACAAUAAAAACAUUUUUCACGAGGGAUGCAUGAAACACUGUCGCAAUAUUGUGUGCAUGAACCAUUGUGUGUGACACAAGCCGUGGGGGCACACCGCCUCGGACACAUUUUGGGAAGCAUAAAACACAGUAUAUACAGAGCUACUAUGGUGGAUGCUUCUUUUUUCUUUUUGGCCGUUAUGAGACAUCUUCGGCCGUAAUGAGACUACCUUCGGCCGUAUUGAGACUUUGGCCGUAACGAGACACUUGGGGAUUAAAGGAUUUUCGGCCGUAAUGAGACUUUCGGCCGUAAUGAGACUUCGGCCGUAAUGAGACUCGGGCCGUAAUGAGAUGUUACCCGUUAUUUCUGUACGUUACAGCAUUAUGUUUUCUUGCCCCCAUGUUUUAUCGCACAUUUUCUUUUCUCUCCUCAAGGCGCAGUAGCAGCUGCGGUUGACCUGUACGGCGUACCAAACCCAUACUUCGACAUAGGUUACGGCUGCCCGAAGUCUCAUCUCGCGUGCUCGCAGAAAUGUCGUGCGGAUCACAGUCAUACCGGCGGGUACUGCAGCGGACCCUAUGGAAUAGUCUGCAUCUGUUACUGAGACCGAUCAGCAGCUCUUCAUUCGCCUAGUCCAUCGUCAAUAAUUAGAGAAGCCACGACAUACCGCGACAUACCGUAGUUCCCGGUGAAGCCCGCGCGAUCACUUAAUUCACAACCCUUACUUUUAUGUCACCCUAUCACUGCAUCUGUUGCUGCGUUGUGUAUAUCACUGUGUAUUGUUGUUGCUUGCGCUUUAACGGGAGCAUUAAAAGUGUUAGUAUUUAAAA